rnacentral:rRNA from 1 species
GACGAACGCUGUCGGCGUGCUUAACACAUGCCAGUCGAACGGAAAGGCCCUGCUUUUGUGGGGUGCUCGAGUGGCGAACGGGUGAGUAACACGUGAGUAACCUGCCCUUGACUUUGGGAUAACUUCAGGAAACUGGGGCUAAUACCGGAUAGGAGCUCCUGCUGCAUGGUGGGGGUUGGAAAGUUUCGGCGGUUGGGGAUGGACUCGCGGCUUAUCAGCUUGUUGGUGGGGUAGUGGCUUACCAAGGCUUUGACGGGUAGCCGGCCUGAGAGGGUGACCGGCCACAUUGGGACUGAGAUACGGCCCAGACUCCUACGGGAGGAAGCAGUGGGGAAUAUUGCACAAUGGGCGGAAGCCUGAUGCAGCAACGCCGCGUGCGGGAUGACGGCCUUCGGGUUGUAAACCGCUUUCGCCUGUGACGAAGCGUGAGUGACGGUAAUGGGUAAAGAAGCACCGGCUAACUACGUG